rnacentral:rRNA from 1 species
GACGAACGCUGGCGGCGUGCUUAACACAUGCAAGUCGAACGAUGAAGCUAGAGCUUGCUCUGGUGAAUUAGUGGCGAACGGGUGAGUAACACGUGAGUAACCUGCCCCGAACUCUGGGAUAACUGCUGGAAACGGUAGCUAAUACUGGAUACGACCUACGAAGGCAUCUGUUGUAGGUGGAAAGAAUUUCGGUUCGGGAUGGAUUCGCGGCCUAUCAGCUGGUUGGUGAGGUAAUGGCUCUCCAAGGCGACGACGGGUAGCCGGCCUGAGAGGGUGACCGGCCACACUGGGACUGAGACACGGCCCAGACUCCUACGGGAGGCAGCAGUGGGGAAUAUUGCACAAUGGGCGCAAGCCUGAUGCAGCAACGCCGCGUGAGGGAUGACGGCCUUCGGGUUGUAAACCUCUUUUAGUAGGGAAGAAGCGAAAGUGACGGUACCUGCAGAAAAAGCACCGGCUAACUACGUGCCAGCAGCCGCAGUAA